rnacentral:rRNA from 1 species
GACGAUUGAUCCUAGCGUUGCUCGGAAUCAUUGGGCGUAAAGCGGGUGUAGGUGGCUUGGUAAGUCAGAUGUGAAAGCCCUGGGCUUAACCCAGGAAGUGCAUUUGAUACUGCUGAGCUUGAGUGCGAGAGAGGUUAAUAGAAUACCUGGUGUAGUGGUGAAAUACGUAGAUAUCAGGUGGAACACCGGAGGCGAAGGCGGUUAACUGGCUCGACACUGACACUGAGACCCGAAAGCCAGGGGAGCAAACGGG